AGGUUGAGUGGUGGCUACACCAACUACAACUGUCUUGCAGUAUGGACUUCAUGUGUUGAAUGAGAUUAUUGUGGUUUUGUACCACAUAGCAUAUAGCGGAAUGUUCUUGUUGUUUUCUAAUGUGAGGCUUAGGGUGAGUGGUUUUAGAUCUACCAUGUGGUGGAAAAUUGAGAGUUUCAGCUAGAGUUGAAGGUGAUUCUCGGC
rnacentral:lncRNA from 1 species